UAAGUGGCUUCUUUAGAAGCCACAUGAGAAAUAUAUAUUGAGCUUCU
rfam:Lucilia cuprina strain LS Scaffold283, whole genome shotgun sequence.